UACGUAGGGUGCGAGCGUUGUCCGGAAUUAUUGGGCGUAAAGAGCUCGUAGGCGGUCUGUCGCGUCGGUCGUGAAAACUUGGGGCUUAACCCUGAGCUUGCGGUCGAUACGGGCAUGACUGGAGUUCGGCAGGGGAGACUGGAAUUCCUGGUGUAGCGGUGAAAUGCGCAGAUAUCAGGAGGAGCACCGGUGGCGAAGGCGGGUCUCUGGGCCGAUACUGACGCUGAGGAGCGAAAGCGUGGGGAGCGAACAGG
rnacentral:rRNA from 1 species